UUUCUCUGGGGUUACAUGUCCAGUUUAUGCUGCUGCACUUAUCUUUUCUGGUCUCUGACAGCUGUGGGAAGUUUUACAGUCCAGGUUAAUCUUUGCAGCUGGGCUCUGUCCGAGACUCAGGAUGCAGAAUACAGGGUUUCAGAGGUAACCUUGCACAGAGAAGUUUUUGAGGAUUGCUUUUCCAUUCUUCACAGUAGCAGGACUGGGAGCAGCACAGUGGAAGAGCAGGGCUGUGCGCACACCAGUUGCCAUAACAACAGGGACUGGUGCUGGUCUGGACCACAGCUGCAGGCAUCUGCUCUUGCAAUUACCACAUGUUCGUAAAGGAGAAACUGCAGCUGGAGAGAGGAGUGAGAAUAUGUGAGAGCAGCAGCCCUACAGGGACCACUGAUGGAGCAGUUCAUGAAGAACUGCAGCCUAUGAGAAGGACUCACUUUGAAGGUGUUCAUGGACGACUGCCUCCUGUGAGAGCAGAAGAGUGUGAGGAGUCCUCCCCUGAGGAGGAAGGAGCAGCAGAGACAACAUGUGGUGAACUGACCACAACCCCCAUUCCCUGUCCCUCUGCACUGCUGAAGAGAGCAGUUAGAGUAAAUAGGGAGUGAAGUUAAGCCCAGGAAGAAAGGUGGAGGGAGAAGGUGUUUUAAGAAUUAAGGGGGGUUAUUUUCUCAUUAUCUUGCUCUGAUUUUGAUUGGCAAUAACUUAAACUAACAUCCGCAAGUCCAGUCUGUUUUGUCUGUGACAGAACUGGUGAGUGAUCUGUCCCUGUCCUUAUCUCAACCCUUGAGCUCUUUGGUAUAUUUUUCUCUCCCCUGUCCUGCUGAGGAGGGCAGUGGUGGGCUUUGGUGGGCACCUGGCGUUCAGCCAGGGUCAAGCCACCAGACUGAGGAAAUUAUAUUUGCUGAAACAUCCCAUUUUAAUAUCAUUUCCGGAUUCUAAUUAUGUGAUCUCUGCUGUUUCAGUUGUCACAAACCUCUAUAUGGAAGGUGGUACCAAGGAAAACUUUGUAAGCCACCCAAAAAGAGAAGACAAGAAAAAUACCUUGCGCGAUGUUUCAUAGAGUAGGGGGAGAAUGCUUUUGCAUCUAUAUUUUACCACCUAGCUUUCAGAAAGCGGCCUUCUUAUGUGUCUUUUCUACUUUGUACACCAACUUUUUGUGUUAACAUUUACAUGGAUGUUUAAUAAACUUCUUAAACAUGGGAAGUGCCUCUGUAGAGGGGGUUUGUGUAGGUGCUUCCAUCUGCACAAGAAGAUUAGGUUUAAAGCCUUCUGAAAGUCACUUUCUUAGUAGCGUGAUUUGGUAGGGCUGUUCUUCAGAGGGUUUCUUUCUGAGUGGCACCUCAUUUUGUGUCGUACCUCACUACACCCUGGAAAACCACAUAAACAGAAAACUUUGGUGUCAGCACUGGAUCUACAAACUCAGUACCAAAUGUGGAGGUAAGCCAAAGCAACGGAAAAGGCCAGAGCCCCUGCUGCCUCAGAGGAGUUAACCAGUCCCAUAUGCUGUAGGGAUUUCUAGUCAAUCUCAUCUCAGCACAUCUGCCGGAGAGCAGUGGGAAGUGCUGCAGGAAGGAAGGGAAAUAACGCUGAUGCACCACCCAGCCAUAUGCCUCCCUCGGGAACAGAAAAAUAAUCAUUUUUGCCAGAAAACCCCUGACAUUUCUGCAUCAGUCUAUGGGUCAGGGAAUUAUAAAUAACCCUAGAUAACAAAAGAAGAAAGUAAUAGAAUUAAAUGGAUAAUCUCAGUAAUAAAUUAUGGUUGUCAAUCUGCUGACCCAAAACUACUGGUCAUUGCCAUUCCUCAUUCAACACGAACACAGUUAAAGAUUGCAGUAUUGGCCUAAACCAGUAUUUACUCCACCACAAGACAACACUGAAAUUAUUGGAAAAAUUAGACUAAGCUGAUAAAUACAGUUUUUUGUAAUAACCAUAUUUUCCAGCCCCACCAUAGCUGUUAAUUCUUCCAAUCCACGCAUUUUCUUCGUUCCUGUCACUUGACGGUUCAAUACGGUGUUAAUUUCACAUAGGUACAGAUGGCAUUUAAGAACAACAGCUGAAAUACAGAUUGGAACCAACAAAGUAUUUCAACAUAUUGUCAGAGAACUUUGGCAUUUCAUUUUAUAUCCCCAAGUCAUCCACCCCUUCCCACCCUACUCCUCAAAACUAAAUAUCUCCUAUUUUUAAGGAUGGGAAAUAGCCCUAUUGAUAUUGAAACCACCUAUGCUUAAGCUUUUUGCUAAUUUAUGGAAGUACAAGUGUUACAAAAUGCAAAUACUGUUUGAGAUAAUGUAUAGGGAAUGUAAGUUAUUUGGAUGGGAAUGUUGCUGCUAUUUUGCAUUAUGGCCAUUCCAUGUAAUUAUAUGCUUUGUGGGUGUUGUAUUUAUUUUGUUGAUUCAGUUGAAAAAUGUCACUGAUACUUAUUUUGCCCAUCAGAACACACUAAGCAACCUCUCUCUACCAUCUCUAAAAGUAUUUUAAAAUUAGUUCUUUAGUAAUAAAUAUCAACUGCUGUACAACAAGGAAGAGUCCAUAGAAAGCAAAAUUUUAUUGGAAGUAUAAUAAUAAGAUAAUUGAUAGACAAGUUAUUUUCUUCUAUUAUGAGCAUUCAGCUUGCUGUCUUGUGAGAUGUAUUAGACUCAAUUGCUGGGAGAAAUUCAAUCUUGUUUAAUGGUAGGUGAUUGGUGACAUUCAGGUACUGGACAAAGCUUGCUGAAGGGUCCUGAUGUCUCAGGGGGGAGCAGUUGCCCCAGUAGCCCUGCAGCAGGAGGGUAGGGCAGGGGCUGGCAGGGCUCUCCAGCUGCCUGCUCCUUCCUCAGUCUUGCACUUUUUGACUCUAGGAUUCUUUCAAAACUGCAAAAGCUGAAAA